rnacentral:rRNA from 1 species
UACGUAGGUGGCAAGCGUUAUCCGGAAUUACUGGGCGUAAAGCGCACGCAGGCGGUCUUGUAAGUUUGACGUGAAAGCUCCCGGCUUAACUGGGAGAGGUCGUUGAAGACUGCAAGACUUGAGGAAAUGAGAGGGGUGUAGAAUUCCAGGUGUAGCGGUGAAAUGCGUAGAUAUCUGGAGGAAUACCGGUGGCGAAGGCGGCAUCCUGGACCGACAUUGACGCUGAUGAGCGAAAGCUAGGGGAGCAAACGGG